AGCGAACGCUGGCGGCAGGCCUAACACUUGCAAGUCGAACGAACCUUUCGGGGUUAGUGGCGGACGGGUGAGUAACACGUGGGAACGUGCCUUUAGGUUCGGAAUAACUCAGGGAAACUUGUGCUAAUACCGAAUGUGCCCUUCGGGGGAAAGAUUUAUCGCCUUUAGAGCGGCCCGCGUCUGAUUAGCUAGUUGGUUGAGGUAAUGGCUCACCAAGGCGACGAUCAGUAGCUGGUCUGAGAGGAUGAUCAGCCACAUUGGGACUGAGACACGGCCCAAACUCCUACGGGAGGCAGCAGUGGGGAAUCUUGCGCAAUGGGCGAAAGCCUGACGCAGCCAUGCCGCGUGAAUGAUGAAGGUCUUAGGAUUGUAAAAUUCUUUCACCGGGGACGAUAAUGACGGUACCCGGAGAAGAAGCCCCGGCUAACUUCGUG
rnacentral:rRNA from 1 species